rnacentral:lncRNA from 1 species
GUGAUGACUUUGAAGAAACUAAUGAAAUUAAUUGAAUCUUUAGUACUCUAUUUCCUACUUAGCAUUGGUAAAGACACUAUGGAUUUUGCAAAGCAUAGAAUAAUUUCCCAGAAACACAGAGUCAUGAUGGCAGAAGGGACUUUCUGAGGUCAACUAUUCCACAAGGAAACAGCUCCUCAAAGGCACUGAGGUCAAUAAGCCAGCAUCCCUCUUUUGAUUAAAGCCUAGACAAACCUACUAAAGGUAGAAGCAAGUAUUAUUCUGAAAGGGCUGUGGGCCAUCUGAUGACAGAAAAGGUUAAGCCACAGUGUCCACGUUGGUUCCUGCCAUCCCACAGUUGUGUCACCGCUAUGAAAUGCCAUCAUUUUAGACUUGGUGAGAUCUUGAAAAGCAGCUGCAGUCUUCCAUCCCUUCCAAGCACCCUCACAGAAGAGAAGAGAGAGUGCCCAAGCAUCGUCAUGAAUGGGCUGCAUUAAGGUAGAGACUAUGGAAGUAGUUACAGUAAUAAGAGCAGCAGCAGAAAGGUCACAAGGGAAAGAGGAGCCAGCACAGAGAGAACCCAGCAGAAGGUUGCAUUUGGAUGUUUGACUGGCCAAUGACAUGUAAAAUGCCUAAUUAGCAGUUUUUCAAGCACUAUUUAUAUUCCAAGGCUUAAGUUUUGACCUCCCAACUGAUUAUACUAGUAGGAAUGUUAUAUGAAUUGGAUUCUAAUCACCUGUCAUAUGUGCUGAGACCUCAUUUCUGUGUGGAAAUAAAAGGACUUCUUCUAUACCUA